UACGGAGGGUGCAAGCGUUAAUCGGAAUUACUGGGCGUAAAGCGUGCGCAGGCGGUUUGUUAAGUCCGUUGUGAAAGCCCCGAGCUCAACUUGGGAAUUGCAGUGGAUACUGGCAGGCUGGAGUACGGUAGAGGAAGGUGGAAUUCCCGGUGUAGCAGUGAAAUGCGUAGAGAUCCGGAAGAACACCAGUGGCGAAGGCGGCCCGCUGGGCAGUGGCUGACGCUGAGGCGCGACAGCGUGGGGAGCAAACAGG
rnacentral:rRNA from 1 species